CUUGGGGCAAGAUGGCUGCGCCCACUGGCUUUGCCGGAGGUGGGGAGGAGGGGCUGUUACUCACACGUGCUGGUCUGGGUUCAGAUCAGUUCUGUUCUCUGGUCUUCCAAGGCCCUUGAUUUAUGGGGUCCCCGUGGACGGAAGCUUUCCCCCCGUCGGGUCUCCACUGAAUCAGCGGCAGGAGUCCUGGAUGAUCCCCCGGUCGUGCGGCCCCUCCCCCGCUCCUUCCCGACCCGCGCCGCAGCGAUCGCAGACUCUAGGGGAGGGAGCGAUGUUCUCUCCUACCGUUCCAGCGCCUCCGAGGGUGUAAGCAAGGAAUCAUUAAAAUAUACAUCCACUCCAGUAUACCAAGAAGCUCAAUUCCACAAGACUGAGGUCUAUGCUGACUCCAUCUUCUGUUCAGAAUAUUAUUCAGCCACACCACUGUUGCUUCAUCCCAAGACAUUCAUCACCUCUUCCUUCUGAGUAUUCUUUCUGUGGCUAAUGACGAUCGUGUCAAGAGAUUGCAGUCCUGGCAGGCUCUGCCAUCUCAGAAGAAGUCUUGCCCUGCUGAGAAGCAUCAUGGACCUGCACGUUUCGUGAUAUCAGCACAAAGGUGGCAGAUCGUUCCUGGAAUUUCACGCACAUGAUUCUCUGAGACCAGGAAAGACGUCUUACCAGCAGCAGCAGUGCAGACAGCCCUGCCAGCCGCCUCCUGUGUGCCCACCUAAAUGUCCUGGGCUGUGCCCACCACCAAGGUUCCCAGAGUCUUGUCCACUUCAUGCCCACCUGUGCAGCCACGCCCACCUGUCAGCAGAAAUGUUCACCCAAGAGCAAGUAACAGCACCAGAAUUCAUCAGGAUCAUGAAGUGACAGGAAAAGUUAUCUUUUAGACUCUGAACUCAAUCUUCCUUUUGAACUGUGUCAUGAUGACAGAUGGCAUCUUGACAUUUCCCUAACCCUCGACUUCUCACCUGCUUGAAAUGACUGUUGUCACAGAGAACACUUUGUUCCUGAAGUUGACAUCACCCUGUUGGAAGCCAUGUCCCUGCCUCCGGCAUGUGGCUAAGAUACAGUAAUGCUCAGCAAUGCCAGGGUUCCCAAAGCCUUAGAAAAAUGAGUACAAGAUCGAGACCAAUACUCUUGCAAAUGUAGCAUCACAGGCUUUCUCUUUGUUGUUUGUUAUUUGGAAAAUGAUUUCUAGCCUCUGAACAAACAUGUCUUUUCUUCUUUAAUAAAGCAC
rnacentral:lncRNA from 1 species